rnacentral:tRNA from 1 species
GCGCUCGUAGCUCAGUGGAUAGAGCAUCAGGUUGCGGACCUGGAGGUCGGAGGUUCGAGUCCUCUCGAGCGCG